rnacentral:lncRNA from 1 species
UGGCUUUCAGGAGGAUUUCCAUGAGGAAUAGACAUAUUUCCUUCAGAAGAAGGGAAAUCCACACCAGUAGUGAGAUGAGCAGCAGCAGGUCUCCUUCCCUUGUUAAAUGUUACACUUUGUGGAUACCCAUGAAUCUUGUAACACUUAUCAAUUAAGUGCCCAGAUUUUUUGCAGUAUCUACAGAAUACAGAACCUCUAGCUGGGUCAAAAUUAACUCUUU